UACGUAGGGUGCGAGCGUUAAUCGGAAUUACUGGGCGUAAAGCGUGCGCAGGCGGUUAUAUAAGACAGAUGUGAAAUCCCCGGGCUCAACCUGGGAACUGCAUUUGUGACUGUAUAGCUAGAGUACGGCAGAGGGGGAUGGAAUUCCGCGUGUAGCAGUGAAAUGCGUAGAUAUGCGGAGGAACACCGAUGGCGAAGGCAAUCCCCUGGGCCUGUACUGACGCUCAUGCACGAAAGCGUGGGGAGCAGACAGG
rnacentral:rRNA from 1 species